GGAGAGAUCGCAUAGCUGGUCUAGUGCGCGCGCUUGGAGAGCGCGUAUAUCGAAAGGUAUCGUGGGUUCGAAUCCCACUCUCUCCGCAA
rnacentral:tRNA from 1 species